GACAUCCACGGAACCGUUAUGGAAACGAUAGGGGUGCCUUCGGGAGCCGUGAGACAGGUGCUGCAUGGCUGUCGUCAGCUCGUGUCGUGAGAUGUUGGUUAAGUCCCGCAACGAGCGCAACCCUUGUCUUUAAUUGCCAUCAUUAAGUUGGGGCACUUUAAAGAGACUGCCGGUGUUAAGCCGGAGGAAGGUGGGGAUGACGUCAAGUCCUCAUGGCCUUUAUGUCCAGGGCUACACACGUGCUACAAUGGGUGGUACAAAGAGCUGCAAACUCGCGAGAGCAAGCUAAUCUCAAAAACCAUCCUCAGUUCGGAUUGGAGUCUGCAACUCGACUCCAUGAAGUUGGAAUCGCUAGUAAUCGCGGAUCAGCAUGCCGCGGUGAAUACGUUCCCAGGCCUU
rnacentral:rRNA from 1 species